rnacentral:rRNA from 1 species
AGAGUUUGAUCCUGGCUCAGAUUGAACGCUAGCGGGGAUGCUUUACACAUGCAAGUCGAACGGCAGCACGAGAGAGCUUGCUCUCUUGGUGGCGAGUGGCGGACGGGUGAGUAAUAUAUCGGAACGUGCCCAGUAGCGGGGGAUAACUACUCGAAAGAGUGGCUAAUACCGCAUACGCCCUACGGGGGAAAGGGGGGGAUUCUUCGGAACCUCUCACUAUUGGAGCGGCCGAUAUCGGAUUAGCUAGUUGGUGGGGUAAAGGCUCACCAAGGCAACGAUCCGUAGCUGGUUUGAGAGGACGACCAGCCACACUGGGACUGAGACACGGCCCAGACUCCUACGGGAGGCAGCAGUGGGGAAUUUUGGACAAUGGGGGAAACCCUGAUCCAGCCAUCCCGCGUGUAUGAUGAAGGCCUUCGGGUUGUAAAGUACUUUUGGCAGAGAAGAAAAGGUGUACUGCCUAAUACGAAGAGUACUGCGAC